rnacentral:lncRNA from 1 species
UUGAUGGUGCUUAUCAAUUAUUGCACAUAAUUUUAAUCACAAUUAGUAUACUUGCCGUAGUGGUUGGAAAUAUUGUCUUGCACUGAAGGGUUGCGGGUUUGAAUCUUAGUCAAGACAAAAUUGUAUUAUUUUUUAAUAAAAAUUGCAAGAUAAAAUGGAGGGAAAACAUGAAAAACAAAUUAGGGUUUAGAGUUUGCUUAUGUAUACAAGCUUAUAAUAUAAAAGAUUUCUUUGACGAAGGUGUCUUGAAAAUUCAGUGUAGUCAAG